UGUCACAUACGUUUUGCGUUUAUCAUGCUGUAUACUUAGCUAUAUCAAACAUGUCAGCUUUUAUAUGUCAUUAACAAUUUUUACUACUUGGUUUUUCAUUCCUAAGGUAGCCUACUUCAUUUAGCACAUGUGCUCACAAAUCAAGCUCCUCUGUGACUCAUGAGCUUCUGAGUUCCUAAAGGCCUGGUCAUCCUGGACAAAAGAGCUGGAGUAGAUGUUGGAAAUGCUGUCUGUAUAUUGUUCCAUUGAAUGUUGUAUUAUGGAAGCAGACUCCACAGGGAGCAGAGACCCCAUCGAUCAGUUAUUUCCCCACAGCUUUCCUGUUAGUCACAUGCUUUGCUGGGAAAUAAACCCCCAAAUCUCACAAUGUUCCGCUUGCUUUCUUCUUCUACCUGGCCCGUACAAGUCCUUCUUGUUCUCACAGAAGAAUGCUGUUGUCCCAUCAGAUUAAGCAGAAAAGAAGCGGCAUAGUAGCCUGUCCUGUCCCUUUCUGGCAGCCAGCAGACAAGAUUAUGUAAUGCUGGUCCCUCAAACGAUGUGGCAAUUGCCAAACACAUGGCAUAUGGUCUAUCAAAAGGCUGAUUUUAAGAUUUCCUGUUUAGAUGCACUCGCUCUAAACUUCUCAAGAUGUUGAUGCAAUGAAAAAAAA